UGGCCUACGGGGGGCAGCAGUGAGGAAUAUUGGUCAAUGGGCUUACGCCUGAACCAGCCAAGUCGCGUGAGGGAAGACUGCCCUAUGGGUUGUAAACUUCUUUUAUCAGGGACGAAGGAUGUGACGGUACCUGAUGAAUAAGCUCCGGCUAACUACGUGCCAGCAGCCGCGGUAAUACGUAGGGAGCAAGCGUUAUCCGGAUUUACUGGGUGUAAAGGGCGCGUAGGCGGGAUGGCAAGUCAGAUGUG
rnacentral:rRNA from 1 species